CGUGGUGAGUAACGCGUGAGGAACCUGCCUUUCGGAGGGGGACAACAGUUGGAAACGACUGCUAAUACCGCAUGAUACAUUUGGGCCGCAUGGUCUGAAUGUCAAAGAUUUAUCGCCGAAAGAUGGCCUCGCGUCUGAUUAGCUAGUUGGUGGGGUAACGGCCCACCAAGGCGACGAUCAGUAGCCGGACUGAGAGGUUGGCCGGCCACAUUGGGACUGAGAUACGGCCCAGACUCCUACGGAAGGCAGCAG
rnacentral:rRNA from 1 species